rnacentral:rRNA from 1 species
CGACUCCGUGAAGCUGGAUUCGCUAGUAAUCGCGCAUCAGCCAUGGCGCGGUGAAUACGUUCCCGGGCCUUGUACACACCGCCCGUCAAGCCAUGGAAGCCGGGGGCGCUUGAAGUGCGUUGCCGCAAGGCGCGCCCUAGAGCGAAACCGGUGACUGGGGCUAAGUCGUAACAAGGUAAC